AACGAACGCUGGCGGCAUGCCUAACACAUGCAAGUCGAACGAGACCUUCGGGUCUAGUGGCGCACGGGUGCGUAACGCGUGGGAACCUGCCCUUAGGUUCGGAAUAACUCCCCGAAAGGGGUGCUAAUACCGGAUAAUGUCUUCGGACCAAAGAUUUAUCGCCUUUGGAUGGGCCCGCGUUGGAUUAGCUAGUUGGUAGGGUAAAAGCCUACCAAGGCGACGAUCCAUAGCUGGUCUGAGAGGAUGAUCAGCCACACUGGGACUGAGACACGGCCCAGACGCCUACGGGAGGCAGCAGUGGGGAAUAUUGGACAAUGGGCGAAAGCCUGAUCCAGCAAUGCCGCGUGAGUGAUGAAGGACUUAGGGUUGUAAAGCUCUUUUACCCGGGAUGAUAAUGACAGAACCGGGAGAAUAAGCUCCGGCUAACUCCGU
rnacentral:rRNA from 1 species